CCUGCCUCAACCUCCCGAGUAGCUGGGAUUACAGAGAAAGGAAACUGGCAUUGGAGAAUUUACAUUCUAUGGGAGUUUGGGCACUGUGACAUCAGGUGCUUCGAUGGUCUGCAAGAGUCUCCUUCUCUUUAAACUAAGGACUAGCAAUGAAUCAACUGUCACCUGAAGUCCCCCGAAUUCAAAGAUAGUGAGAAGCAGAUGUGAGACAGAAAAGAAAGUGCAAUAAAUAGUCAUCAUGUUUUUUUAAGAAAAAAAAUGUUUACAGAUAAAGUCUACAGAAAGAAAUGAGCAGGCCUCCAAGUGGUGUCAUAGCUGGAGAGGUGGAUUGGCGGAGUGGCAGAUGUGGGAUCGAAGUCUAUCACUUUCAUAACAACAUCAACCUCUCGACUCAUUCCAGAGAGGUCCUUCCCCAUACCCAGGAAGAAGGAAUGCUACACAGAGAGGCCAGGAAGAAUCUGAAUGCACAGUCCUUGCUGGGAUACUCCCCUCAGUCUAUUACCACGAGAUCAUAACUUUCGUCCACUUACAUUUCUACGUGGCUGGUCAUUCUUCAUUGAACCUAAGCAUAAAAAUAGACAGUAUUCCCUGGGUCUUUGGGUCUUCAUUUCUGAAGUUUCCCAUGUCAAGUGAAAUUUUGAUUAAAUAAAUUUGUUAUGAUUUUCUCAUGUUAACCUGUCUUUUCUUAUAGGAGUGUUGUCUGUGACCCUUAUGAUGAAUGAGGACUUUCCACCCCUGCAAUACUGUAUGAAAAUAGACAAGAGCUAGUAGUCCUCCUGUCUUCUUCCUCUAUGGCAAGGGCUUUGAACCAUGUGACCUUUAAGAUGCCCACUGUUUCUGAAGGAUCUAUGAUUCUCUGACAUCUGACUCAUAAGCCAUGUUUCUUCACAUACAAGCUUUUGGAGUAAGAUUAGUAUCUUUGGUCAGAAGAACUUUCAAACAUGUUCCCAUGUUAUCAGAAUCUUUUCUUACCUCUUUAUU
rnacentral:lncRNA from 1 species